GAUGAACGCUGGCGGCGUGCCUAAUACAUGCAAGUCGAGCGAACAGACGAGGAGCUUGCUCCUCUGACGUUAGCGGCGGACGGGUGAGUAACACGUGGAUAACCUACCUAUAAGACUGGGAUAACUUCGGGAAACCGGAGCUAAUACCGGAUAAUAUAUUGAACCGCAUGGUUCAAUAGUGAAAGACGGUUUUGCUGUCACUUAUAGAUGGAUCCGCGCCGCAUUAGCUAGUUGGUAAGGUAACGGCUUACCAAGGCAACGAUGCGUAGCCGACCUGAGAGUGUGAUCGGCCACACUGGAACUGAGACACGGUCCAGACUCCUACGGGAGGCAGCAGUAGGGAAUCGUCCGCAAUGGGCGAAAGCCUGACGGAGCAACGCCGCGUGAGUGAUGAAGGUCUUCGGAUCGUAAAACUCUGUUAUUAGGGAAGAACAAAUGUGUAAGUAACUAUGCACGUCUUGACGGUACCUAAUCAGAAAGCCACGGCUAACUACGUG
rnacentral:rRNA from 1 species